UGUUCCUGCAUCAGAAGCCCCUUCCGUCUGUCAGGCUGCAAACCUGGUCCUGGGUUCCCAGGUCACACCCGCGGCCCUGAAAACACUCAGCUGACUUGCCGGCAGUGGUCCUUCGCCAUCGCGCACUGGGGAUGCGCCGUCACCACUUGCGCCCAAGCAGCAGCCCCCCACCCUCCCUGCCAAUCACUGUGCCGGGCCAUGUCACUCUGAGCUCCUGAGGUCCAGGCUGCUGAACCACAGGACUGAAGCACCCCUGGUGGCCUUAACCAGCCCAGCAGAGGGUGAGGAGGUGCGGGGGGACCCGGGGAGCCAGGGGGCCCACCGCAGGGAUGACCCGACCUUUAGUGGUUCCAAAUGUCAUGAGGCAGGAGCAGUUUCCCUACCCGGCAGCUGGAUCCCGAUGCUUCUUCUGGGUCACGGGCCAAACAGUCUUCACUGGGAAAGGGGGGGCACUUCCCUCACCCAGGGUCACUGUGUCCCCUGUGGCCACGGCUUCUGGGGAAGGCCCUGAGGAAGCAGCACUUAGGCUGAGCCCUAGCAGCCAACAAGGUAGGUGGAGUGGGACGCAGGGUGACAUGCAGGGCCCAGCCGAAGAACGGAGCCAGCGAGACGGGGCUGGGAAUCGGGGGACACCGUCCAGCAGCCCUUACAGCCCCCCCUUCCCCAGGUGCCUUCCCUCCAUGACCACGCGGACUCUGUCGUCCUGCAAGCCACCCGGGUUCUCCAGCUCCGCGCUCACGAUGCUCCUAUGUGCUCUCAUGGUUUAGCCAGCCCCCUGAGAAGAGAGGGCAGGCGGAUCUGUGCCCAGUUUACAGGGGACAGACCGAGGCACUGGGAGGUCGCGGCUGCCAGACAGAUGGCGGGGUGGCAGGAGCCCUUUGCAACAGUCAACAUGGAGAGAACCCAUUUCCUGUCCUGAUCGGUCGCCUCCUUAAGGACACCCAACGUCCGGCAGCCCGCGGGCCGGAUCUGGAGGUUGUCAAGUGAAGCGACAAGACAGCGCGUCCCCCUGCGUGGGGCGCAUUGGUACUGGACACCGCCUCAGAGACUCAACUUCCCGCCGCUCCAUCUGCAUUUCCUCACUUACAGGAAAUCAGAGGACCACGGGGCUGGAGCCCAAAUCCCUCCUGAGCAGAGGGAAUUCCGGGUGUCAUGGUUUCCAGGAAGGGAACGCCAUCUCUCUGUGGGGUGUAAUUACAUCUUCGCUUUCUGCAGAAGAAUAGUUUAUGGCUUAAAUGCUAUUAAUUGUAAGCCGUUUUGUUCCGCGGGAAGUUGUUCAUUGAUAACUACCCAAUUAGGGUUAUUUUGCAAUUAGUCUAUUCACAGUAAAUUUAUUGCAAGAGG